rnacentral:lncRNA from 1 species
ACACUGUAGCUUCUGCAUCAUCAGAGCCAAGAACAGGCCUACCUCAAGUUUCAAGUGAUCCCUCUUCUCUUUCAUUUUUCUGAAAGAAUAUCUACACACAUGGAAAAGAUGGAUUUAUAAAAAAGCAAAGGAGUCAUGAGGGACCACAUAUUGACCAUACAGAGGUUAUUUUCUUGUGGAAAUCCUUGAACGUUGUGUGGAAAUGAGUCGAUGAACACAGUGUUACUGUAAGGUGAUCAUCCUCUAGACCUGAAGUGGGCAGUGCUGAGGAAGAUAACCAGAGCUGAAAGACCCUGCAGUGAUCCACUGAAAAAACUCAGCCAGCAGGUCCUGCUGGUACCUGUUCCAUGUAAGUAUUUUUCUUCCUUCUGCCCACAGUUACUGUCCAUCUCUUUCUC